rnacentral:rRNA from 1 species
AUUGAACGCUGGCGGCAUGCUUUACACAUGCAAGUCGAACGGUAACAGGUUAAGCUGACGAGUGGCGAACGGGUGAGUAAUGCAUCGGAACGUGCCCGAUCGUGGGGGAUAACGCAGCGAAAGCUGCGCUAAUACCGCAUACGAUCUGAGGAUGAAAGCGGGGGACCGUAAGGCCUCGCGCGAUCGGAGCGGCCGAUGUCAGAUUAGGUAGUUGGUGGGGUAAAGGCCCACCAAGCCGACGAUCUGUAGCUGGUCUGAGAGGACGACCAGCCACAAGGGGGCUGAGACACGGCCCAGACUCCUACGGGAGGCAGCAGUGGGGAAUUUUGGACAAUGGGCGAAAGCCUGAUCCAGCAAUGCCGCGUGCAGGAAGAAGGCCUUCGGGUUGUAAACUGCUUUUGUACGGAGCGAAAAGGUCCUUUCUAAUACAAGGGGCUCAUGACGGUACCGUAAGAAUAAGCACCGGCUAACUACGUGCCAGCAGCCGCGGUAA